CAAAAAUGCGCACCAUAAAUGACGCUGGAAAUUUCAAACCAUCGGCCAAAAGUGAUAGAAAAAAAAAUCAAACAAUCAUCUUAUUUCAUGUCUGGCAACGAGCGUCCCAUACACUACGCUGCACAUAAUCAGCGUGUUAUCGAAGUCAAGUUAAGCCGCUACGUGAUUGAAAUUUCGAAAUUGCUGUAAAGAUAGUUACCCUUAUCUACAUGCACUAUUUGGUACUGGUUGCAGCUCGCCGACUUUGUUGAACCUCUGAAUUGUGACCAGCGCAUUUCUUCGUGACUUGACCCGUGUGUCGAUUGAUCGUCGUCACCAGUGCAUCUCUAACAAGUAGGUUCCAGUUUUCUUUGCCAGUGAUUGCAACAGUAUUUUAGUGAUGGAUCGCCUUCAACAAAACGACUAAAAGCCAGCCGGCGUCCAUGGAGAUAACGUUAUCUUCUAUUGGUACUAUCUGCCAAGAUAAGGUCUUUUACCUCUA